AAGAAUAGAAAUUGCGAUAACAAAAUCCUAAUUCUAAUAGAAUACUAACAAUGCUCUAAUUAGACUAUAAUAAUGGUAAACAAACGUAAUCAAAUUCAAAACAACUCAAAGAAAUUUCAAACAAACAAUAAAAUUUUAAAAGAAAUAUUAGAAUGAACACAAAUAUUACUCAAACAUAUGUCAAUUCAACCUUAAUUUAAUUCUAGUUAAAACCCUAUUGAAUUUCAGUCAAACUUUAGACCAAACCUAAUUAAAUCUUAAAUCCUAAUAACUCUUAAACCUUAAGUCAAAUCCCAAACAAACCUUAAAUUAAACCCUAAAUCAAACCCUAUUUCAAAUCCUAAAGCCUAAACCAAAUCCUAAACCUUAAUCCAAACUCUAAUCCAACCCAAAACCCUAAUCCAAAUCCUAAAUCCUAAACCAAACCUUAAAUCAAAUCCUAAUCCAAACCCUAAAUCAAAUCCUAACCAAAUCCUAAAUCCUAAUCCAAAUCCUAAUCCAAACCCUAAAUCAAACCCUAAAUCAAAUCCUAAAUCAAAUCCUAAACCCUAAUCCAAACCCUAAUCCAACCCUAAAUCCUAACCAAACCUUAAACCCUAAUCCAAACCCUAAUCCAAACCUUAAAUCAAAUCCUAACCAAACUCUAAAUCCUAAUCCAAACCCUAAUCAAACCCUAAUCAAAUCCUAAUCCAAACCCUAAAUUCUAAAUCAAACCCUAAAUCAAACCCUAGCCAAACCCUAAUCCAAAUCCUAGUAAUUCCUAUGACAGAUUUAAACCUCAAUAUGUAAUGAA
rnacentral:lncRNA from 1 species